rnacentral:rRNA from 1 species
AUUGAACGCUGGCGGCAUGCUUUACACAUGCAAGUCGAACGGUAACAGGCCGCAAGGUGCUGACGAGUGGCGAACGGGUGAGUAAUGCAUCGGAACGUGCCCAGUCGUGGGGGAUAACGCAGCGAAAGCUGCGCUAAUACCGCAUACGAUCUAUGGAUGAAAGCGGGGGACCGUAAGGCCUCGCGCGAUUGGAGCGGCCGAUGUCAGAUUAGGUAGUUGGUGGGGUAAAGGCUCACCAAGCCAACGAUCUGUAGCUGGUCUGAGAGGACGACCAGCCACACUGGGACUGAGACACGGCCCAGACUCCUACGGGAGGCAGCAGUGGGGAAUUUUGGACAAUGGGCGCAAGCCUGAUCCAGCAGUGCCGCGUGCAGGAAGAAGGCCUUCGGGUUGUAAACUGCUUUUGUACGGAACGAAACGGUCCUGGUUAAUACCUGGGGCUAAUGACGGUACCGUAAGAAUAAGCACCGGCUAACUACGUGCCAGCCGCCGCUGUAAAAC